rnacentral:rRNA from 1 species
UGGGGAAUUUUGGACAAUGGGCGAAAGCCUGAUCCAGCAAUGCCGCGUGUGUGAAGAAGGCCUUCGGGUUGUAAAGCACUUUUGUCCGGAAAGAAAUCCUUGGCUCUAAUACAGUCGGGGGAUGACGGUACCGGAAGAAUAAGCACCGGCUAACUACGUGCCAGCAGCCGCGGUAAUACGUAGGGUGCAAGCGUUAAUCGGAAUUACUGGGCGUAAAGCGUGCGCAGGCGGUUUGCUAAGACCGAUGUGAAAUCCCCGGGCUCAACCUGGGAACUGCAUUGGUGACUGGCAGGCUAGAGUAUGGCAGAGGGGGGUAGAAUUCCACGUNUAGCAGUGAAAUGCGUAGAGAUGUGGAGGAAUACCGAUGGCGAAGGCAGCCCCCUGGGCAAUACUGACGCUCAUGCACGAAAGCGUGGGGAGCAAACAGGAUUAGAUACCCUGGUAGUCCACGCCCUAAACGAUGUCAACUAGUUGUUGGGGAUUCAUUCCUUAGUAACGUAGCUAACGCGUGAAGUUGACCGCCUGGGGAGUACGUCGCAAGAUUAAAACUCAAAUGAAUUG